CAGCAGCCACGGGAAUACGUAGGGGGCGAGCGUUGUCCGAAGUUACUGGGCGUAAAGAGCGCGUAGGCUGGUCUUUAAGUGAGUGGUGAAAGGUUCGGGCUCAACCCGGACACUGCCUUUCAUACUGGGGACCUUGAGUGUGGGAGAGGCGAGUGGAAUGGUCGGUGUAGCGGUGAAAUGCGUAGAUAUCGAUCGGAACACCCAUGGCGAAGGCAGCUCGCUGGCCUAACACUGACGCUGAGGCGCGAAAGCGUGGGGAGCAAACAGGAUUAGAUACCCCCGUAGUCCCUGUCUCUUAUAC
rnacentral:rRNA from 1 species